rnacentral:rRNA from 1 species
CUACGGGCUGCACCAGUGGGGAAUAUUGCACAAUGGGCGCAAGCCUGAUGCAGCCAUGCCGCGUGUAUGAAGAAGGCCUUCGGGUUGUAGAGUACUUUCAGCGGGGAGGAAGGGAGUAAAGUUAAUACCUUUGCUCAUUGACGUUACCCGCAGAAGAAGCACCGGCUAACUCCGUGCCAGCAGCCGCGGUAAUACGGAGGGUGCAAGCGUUAAUCGGAAUUACUGGGCGUAAAGCGCACGCAGGCGGUUUGUUAAGUCAGAUGUGAAAUCCCUGGGCUCAACCUGGGAACUGCAUCUGAUACUGGCAAGCUUGAGUCUCGUAGAGGGGGGUAGAAUUCCAGGUGUAGCGGUGAAAUGCGUAGAGAUCUGGAGGAAUACCGGUGGCGAAGGCGGCCCCCUGGACGAAGACUGACGCUCAGGUGCGAAAGCGUGGGAAGCAAACAGGAUUAGAUACCCGCGUAGUC